UCUCCGUUGGUGAACCAGCGGAGGGAUCAUUACCGAGUUUACAACCCCCAAACCCCUGUGAACUUAUACCUUUACUGUUGCUUCGGCGGGUCAUUGCCCCGGGGAAACAGGCGGCCGUCAGGUCCCUGCCCACCCGGAAACAGGCGCCCGCCGGGGGACUCAAACUCUUCUGUAUUUUUUUGUUUACUGUAUACUGUCUGAGUAAAAAUUCAUAAUGAAUCAAAGCUUUCAACAACGGAUCUCUUGGUUCUG
rnacentral:misc_RNA from 1 species